rnacentral:lncRNA from 1 species
UCAUCAACAAUCAAUUAAUAUUCAACAACAUCCAUCAAAGUUCAUCAAAACAUCAAUUUAAGAGUAAAUCCAAUUGGAGAUUAAGGAAACAUCUUUACCCUUUCAUGAUUUAGCAUCCAUAGAUGAAUAGUUUCACCCCCUUAUCUUACGGUUGCAGAAAAUUCUUGAUCGAUCCUUGACUUUUUCUCUCCCAAGUCCUAAACCUCUUUUCACUUUUCUCUCA